rnacentral:rRNA from 1 species
UGGAGGAAAGUAGGGGAUCGAAAGACCUUGCGCUUAAGGAGCGGCCGAUGUCUGAUUAGCUAGUUGGUAGGGUAAAGGCCUACCAAGGCGACGAUCAGUAGUUGGUCUGAGAGGACGACCAACCACACUGGGACUGAGACACGGCCCAGACUCCUACGGGAGGCAGCAGUGGGGAAUUUUGGACAAUGGGCGCAAGCCUGAUCCAGCCAUGCCGCGUGAGUGAAGAAGGCCUUCGGGUUGUAAAGCUCUUUCAGUUGGGAAGAAACGAUUGCAACUAAUAAUUGUAAUUAAUGACGGUACCGACAGAAGAAGCACCGGCUAACUACGUGCCAGCAGCCGCGGUAAUACGUAGGGUGCGAGCGUUAAUCGGAAUUACUGGGCGUAAAGGGUGCGCAGGCGGUUUUGUAAGUCAGAUGUGAAAUCCCCGGGCUUAACCUGGGAAUGGCGUUUGAA